GCCACCAAUCAGAAGCUGCAUCUUAACAAGGUCCCCUGGGUGAUUUGAGCUACUCCAUGACGGGCUGAGAAGUACUGAUUCCACAGGUGGUAACCCAUCCUGGGGAUCUUGUCUUGAACAGAGACAAGUGAGUAACUGAGACCACAUGUUGAUGUCAGUAAUUCUGAACCUAUUCCAUGCUUCAUUCCGCUUACCUCCAGCACAGCCCCAGGAAGCCUCUACAAGAUGACACUCCUUGAUAAUGCAGAACUGCCGAGUCUUGGCAGCACAACAACUAGACUAAGGAGUCCUGUCCUGAUAAGGAAGAUCUGAGAAUUUCUGCAGUCAAGUGCUUGACUUCCGUCUUAAGUGAUCU